GACAGAGGGUGCAAACGUUGUUCGGAAUUACUGGGCGUAAAGCGCGUGUAGGCGGCAGCGUGUGUCGGGCGUGAAAUCCCACGGCUCAACCGUGGAAGUGCACCCGAAACUGCGCAGCUAGAGUCCUGGAGAGGAAGGUGGAAUACUUGGUGUAGAGGUGAAAUUCGUAGAUAUCAAGUGGAACACCGGUGGCGAAGGCGGCCUUCUGGACGGUAACUGACGCUGAGACGCGAAAGCGUGGGGAGCAAACAGG
rnacentral:rRNA from 1 species